rnacentral:rRNA from 1 species
UACCAGCACCCCGAGUGGUCGGGACGAUUAUUGGGCCUAAAGCAUCCGUAGCCGGUCAUGCAAGUCCUCCGUUAAAUCCACCUGCUUAACAGAUGGGCUGCGGAGGAUACUACAAGGCUAGGAGGCGGAAGAGGCAAGCGGUACUCAGUGGGUAGGGGUAAAAUCCUCUGAUCCAUUGAAGACCGCCAGUGGCGAAGGCGGCUUGCCAAUACGCGCUCGACGGUGAGGGAUGAAAGCUGGGGGAGCAAACCGG